CUCAGCCAAUCUUAUGGGGAAGUAUUGUAAUUUGCUCAGACCACCACUUCUGAUGAUGUCAGCAGACAGUGAAUUCAGAGGCAGAGCCAGCAGCUGCAGACUUGAAUACAAGUUAUAUUUUACUAUACUUAGGGAGGCAAGAAGGGGCCAGGGUGUUGGUUUUAACAUAAUAGGGUCAGAAAUACAUGAUUGUGUUCCUGACCCUAUAGUGCUCCUUUAAGCAAGAGUAUGUGAAGAGUCAUUAGGGUUGCCACCUUUCUUGGGAAAAAAAAAAUACCAGCCUUAAUCAUUUGUAUAAUCACAAGGAGUGACAUAAGAGAAAAUUCUGUAAAAUCACCAACAAACUACUCACAGUUCGAUUCUGCUGUAUAGAUGGAUUGCUC